rnacentral:rRNA from 2 species
AUACGUAGCCGACCUGAGAGGGUGAUCGGCCACACUGGAACUGAGACACGGUCCAGACUCCUACGGGAGGCAGCAGUAGGGAAUCUUCCGCAAUGGGCGAAAGCCUGACGGAGCAACGCCGCGUGAGUGAUGAAGGUCUUCGGAUCGUAAAACUCUGUUGUUAGGGAAGAACAAAUUUGUUAGUAACUGAACAAGUCUUGACGGUACCUAACCAGAAAGCCACGGCUAACUACGUGCCAGCAGCCGCGGUAAUACGUAGGUGGCAAGCGUUAUCCGGAAUUAUUGGGCGUAAAGCGCGCGUAGGCGGUUUCUUAAGUCUGAUGUGAAAGCCCACGGCUCAACCGUGGAGGGUCAUUGGAAACUGGGAAACUUGAGUGCAGAAGAGGAGAGUGGAAUUCCAUGUGUAGCGGUGAAAUGCGCAGAGAUAUGGAGGAACACCAGUGGCGAAGGCGGCUCUCUGGUCUGUAACUGACGCUGAUGUGCGAAAGCGUGGGGAUCAA